rnacentral:rRNA from 1 species
GACGAACGCUGGCGGCGUGCCUAAUACAUGCAAGUCGAGCGAAGUUUUUCUGGUGCUUGCACUAGAAAAACUUAGCGGCGAACGGGUGAGUAACACGUAAAGAACCUGCCUCAUAGACUGGGACAACUAUUGGAAACGAUAGCUAAUACCGGAUAACAGUAUUUCUCGCAUGAGAGAUAUUUAAAAGUUGGUUAUGCUAACACUAUGAGAUGGCUUUGCGGUGCAUUAGCUAGUUGGUGGGGUAAAGGCCCACCAAGGCGACGAUGCAUAGCCGACCUGAGAGGGUGAUCGGCCACACUGGGACUGAGACACGGCCCAGACUCCUACGGGAGGCAGCAGUAGGGAAUCUUCCGCAAUGGGCGAAAGCCUGACGGAGCAACGCCGCGUGAGUGAAGAAGGAUUUCGGUUCGUAAAGCUCUGUUGUUAGGAAAGAAUGGAUAUGUAGUAACUAUACAUGUAAGAGACGGUACCUAACCAGAAAGCCACGGCUAACUACGUG